rnacentral:rRNA from 1 species
AGAUUGAACGCUAGCGGGAUGCUUUACACAUGCAAGUCGAACGGCAGCGCGGACUUCGGUCUGGCGGCGAGUGGCGAACGGGUGAGUAAUAUAUCGGAACGUGCCCAGUAGCGGGGGAUAACUACGCGAAAGCGUGGCUAAUACCGCAUACGCCCUACGGGGGAAAGGGGGGAGUCGCAAGACCUCUCACUAUUGGAGCGGCCGAUAUCAGAUUAGCUAGUUGGUGAGGUAAAGGCUCACCAAGGCGACGAUCUGUAGCUGGUUUGAGAGGACGACCAGCCACACUGGGACUGAGACACGGCCCAGACUCCUACGGGAGGCAGCAGUGGGGAAUUUUUGGACAAUGGGGGAAACCCUGAUCCAGCCAUCCCGCGUGUGCGAUGAAAGGCCUCGGUUGUAAGACACUUUGUCAGGAAGAAAGGACGUCUUAAUAACGGUCGGUCGACUGACGGUACCUCGCAGAAUAAGACACGGCCUAACUACGUAGCCACGCAGACCGCGGUAA